rnacentral:rRNA from 1 species
UACGGAGGGGGCGAGCGUUAUCCGGAAUUACUGGGCUUAAAGGGUGCGUAGGCGGCGCUGUAAGUCAGGAGUGAAAGUUUGCGGCUCAACCGUAAAAUUGCUUUUGAUACUGCGGUGCUGGAAUUAGAAUGAGGUCAGUAGAAUGUGGCAUGUAGCGGUGAAAUGCAUAGAUAUGCCAUAGAACACCAAUUGCGAAGGCAGCUGGCUAGACCUGGAUUGACGCUGAGGCACGAAAGCGUGGGGAGCGAACAGG